GUGAGUCACAUCUCCGUGCUGUCGCCCGAUCGCAUGGGCUUGAAUGACAAGGAUAUUUCAGCACUGUCUGGGGCACAUACAAUGGAAGGUAAGGCUUAGGAUAUCAUUUCUUAUGUUCAUGUAAAUGUUCGUCUUGGGACUCCUCGGUCCUGUGAUUGAUCAGAAUCUGUAUUAUGCUGGGUUGAAAUUCACUUCUCCAACAUACUUAUGUGCUAUUAACAAUAUUCUCCCUACAAUGACUUUUGUACUGGUUGUUAUUUUUAGUUACACUUCAAAUCAUAGGGAAUACUUCAAUCAAUUGCAGUUACAUUUGUUAUGGAGACUCAACCAAAUGUUUGGUACAUUGGUUGGGACAACAAAAUGGGGGAUUCUAUGUGGUAUUGUCAAAGGAUUGAAAGGUGGAACAAUUACUCAACCAGUUUUGCAUAAAAUUCAAAUUUCCAAUUUCGGUCAUUUGGAAGACAUUUUUUCAAUCCCUCCUUUCCAGAUUGACGUCCAACAGUGGUUGUGGCCGAUUAAAAAGUACAGAGGACAUUGAAAUAGACGAGCCUAAAACCGUCGCUUCUACUUCAUUUCCUGAUGUUAAAAACAAACAGAAAGGGAGAAGCUAUUUCAAGGUGGGAGUAAUGAUGAUGUAAAACAGAAAAUCAGAACCAAUUUUGAAGAUGAUGCACACAAUUGCUUCUCAUUCUAAUGAGAAUAGGAUGAAGACUUCUGUUGUUGCUGCUUGCAUGGCACCCUUGCUCUUACGGCUUCUAUUAGCCAUAGAAUGUGAGCUGGAUGAUGAAUUAACGAUAGUGGUGAUAGUUCAGCACAACUUCUUGCUGCUGCAAAUAACGCUCAAGCAAAUAUUACCACUUUGUUAGAGGAGUACAAGAAUGUAUUUGACAUAAGAAACUUUCUUUUGAUUAAUUCUUACUUUCUGGUAUGUGUAUGAUUAUAUUCAAUUCUGGAGCUUAAUUUCUAUUUUUCGGUUCAAGAAGAAAAUAUACAGAGAUGUUCCAUUU